UUGAAUAGACUCUAAUAACAGGUUUGCUCUUUUUUUAUUUUGCAAUACGGAUCUUGGUGUGUAAAUACGAUAGUUACAACUACCACGUGUCAAUUAAGCUAUUUUCCACGUUUUGAUCGCGAUAUCAUUUUGGAAAAAAAACACCACAAGUUUAAAAUUGAAUGAAGUGAACUAACUGCGGUGAAGAGAUUUUCGUGAUCAUCUAAAGGGAGGAAUAACGGCGAGUUGCUGUUUCGCAGCGUAUAAAACUCAUUUUAUAACAGGCCGGAACAUUAUAAAACACGAAGAAACAAAGAAAACAAAGAAUCGUGGCGUGACAGAGGACUCUAACAAACAGCAGACAGGUGCUGCGUAUGUGGUUUAUUGACACAACAGGCUUUACCCUGGCCCUUAUUGGCGAUCUCACAAAGAAGACAACCGUGCUUCGCAAACAUGCUAUGGAUGAUAGGUGAAAAUCUAUGGUUGUUUAUGUUUGAAACAGCGUUUGAUCUGUGUCCUAACGCUACACCAUUGUCCAGCCCCGUAAAAAGAGGUCACAUAAGGAAUGAGUAGUGGGCCUAUAAACAUCACCGAUUCAUGGUGGUAUGGGAUAUAAACGGCACAUGGACUUGAUUGCUAACUACACAGCUGCUAUAACUUUUUCUAAAAUAGCCGAGAGAAGGAAUAGUGAAGCAGACGUGAUUGCUCAUGCGUGACCAGGUUUGUCCAGUUAAUAAAAUUUUGCUCAAAAGCGGGAGCAGAAGAAAAAUCACAGCCAGCCUAUAAUUCACAUAUUUUUUUUACAGUUAUUGCCUCCUCAUUGUUUACUUAUUGCCUUUGCUGAACUUCUUAUUUCUAGCUACGAUCUCAACAGGAAAAACUAUUAGCAGGUUACAAGUAGAGAAGAUCUCAGAAAAAUAUUUCCUCUUUGUGGGAUUAACAGGUGGAAUAAAUCUUAUUAAAAAAAAAAAA